UCAAUGAUUUAAAUAGCCGCAGAAAUUUAACUGUGCUAAGGUAGCAUAAUCAUUUGAUUUUUAAUUAAAAUCUAGAAUGAAAGACUUAACAAUUUAAAUUCUUUUUUAUUUUUAAUCAUUAAAAUUUUAUUAAAAAUAAAAAUAUUUUUAUUUCUUAAAAAGACGACAAGACCCUUUUAAACUUAACUUUAGUUUAACUGGGACAGUUAUUUAAUAAUUAUUUUAAAAUAUUUAUUUUACUAAUAACCUAAUAUUAUUAAAUUAACAAGUUACUAAAGGGAUAACAGCGUAAUUUGUACUUAAAGCUCUUAUUUAAUUAUAAGAUUACGACCUCGAUGUUGAAUUAAAUUCCUUUUUUAAGCAAAAUAAAUAAAAGGAGGUCUGUUCGACCUUUAAAAAUUUACAUGAUUUGAGUUCAAA
rnacentral:rRNA from 1 species